rnacentral:rRNA from 1 species
AGCAGUAGCCGCGGUAAUACGGAGGGAGCUAGCGUUGUUCGGAAUUACUGGGCGUAAAGCGCACGUAGGCGGCUUUGUAAGUUAGAGGUGAAAGCCCGGGGCUCAACUCCGGAACUGCCUUUAAGAUUGCAUCGCUUGAAUCAUGAAGAGGCGGGUGGAAUUCCGAGUGUAGAGGUGAAAUUCGUAGAUAUUCGGAAGAACACCAGUGGCGAAGGCGGCUCACUGGACGACUGUUGACGCUGAGGUGCGAAAGCGUGGGGAGCAAACAGGAUUAGAUACCCGUGUAGUCCCUGUCUCUUAUAA